rnacentral:rRNA from 1 species
AGAGUUUGAUCCUGGCUCAGAACGAACGCUGGCGGCGUGGAUAAGACAUGCAAGUCGAGCGAUUACUAGUUGGUAGCAAUAUCGGCUAGUGAGAGCGGCGCAAGGGUGCGUAACACGUGGGCAAUCUACCGUGAAGUUUGGGAUAAUCCCGCGAAAGCGGGACUAAUACCGGAUGUGACAACUGGGAGGCAUCUCUUGGUUGUCAAAGUUGGGGACCGUAAGGCCUGACGCUUCAUGAUGAGCCCGCGGCCUAUCAGGUAGUUGGCGGGGUAACGGCCCACCAAGCCUAAGACGGGUAGCUGGUCUGAGAGGACGACCAGCCACACUGGAACUGAGACACGGUCCAGACACCUACGGGUGGCAGCAGUCGAGAAUUUUUCACAAUGGGCGAAAGCCUGAUGGAGCGACGCCGCGUGGGGGAUGAAUGGCUUCGGCCCGUAAACCCCUGUCAUUCGCGAUCAAACCUUAUCAUUUAAAAGAUGAUGAGCUGAUAGUAGCGGAAGAGGAAGGGACGGCUAACUCUGUGCCAGCAGCCGCGGUAAUACAGAGGUCCCAAGCGUUGUUCGGAUUCACUGGGCGUAAAGGGUGCGUAGGUGGUGAGGUGUGUCGGAUGUGAAAGCUCGGAGCUCAACUCCGAAAUGGCAUUGGAAACUACCUUGCUAGAGGGUUGGAGGGGGGACUGGAAUACUUGGUGUAGCGGUGAAAUGCGCAGAUAUCAGGAGGAACACCGAUGGCGAAGGCAGGUCUCUGGGCCAUAACUGACGCUGAGAAGCGAAAGCAUGGGGAGCGAACAGGAUUAGAUACCCUGGUAGUCCAUGCCGUAAACGUUGGGCGCUAGGUGUGGGGCUCAUUCCACGGGUUCUGCGCCGCAGCUAACGCAUUAAGCGCCCCGCCUGGGGAGUACGGCCGCAAGGCUAAAACUCAAAGGAAUUGACGGGGGCCCGCACAAGCGGCGGAGCAUGCGGAUUAAUUCGAUGCAACGCGAAGAACCUUACCAAGGCUUGACAUACGCCGGAAACACGCAGAGAUGUGUGCCCCGUAAGGUCGGUGUACAGGUGGUGCAUGGUUGUCGUCAGCUCGUGUCGUGAGAUGUUGGGUUAAGUCCCGCAACGAGCGCAACCCUCGUUCCAUGUUGCCAGCACGUAGUGGUGGGGACUCAUGGGAGACUGCCGGGGUCAACUCGGAGGAAGGUGGGGAUGAGGUCAAAUCAUCAUGCCCCUUAUGUCUUGGGCUUCACGCAUGCUACAAUGGCCAGUACAAAGGGCUGCGAUACCGUAAGGUGGAGCGAAUCCCAAAAAACUGGUCUCAGUUCGGAUUGGGGUCUGCAACUCGACCCCAUGAAGUCGGAGUCGCUAGUAAUCGCAGAUCAGCAACGCUGCGGUGAAUACGUUCCCGGGCCUUGUACACACCGCCCGUCAAGUCACGAAAGUUGGUAACACCCGAAGCCGGUGGCCUAACCCUUUUGGGGAGGAGCCGUCGAAGGUGGGACUGGCGAUUGGGACUAAGUCGUAACAAGGUAACC